GAAAGCCUGAUGCAGCAACGCCGCGUGAGGGAUGACGGCCUUCGGGUUGUAAACCUCUUUUAGCAGGGAAGAAGCGAAAGUGACGGUACCUGCAGAAAAAGCACCGGCUAACUACGUGCCAGCAGCCGCGGUAAUACGUAGGGUGCGAGCGUUGUCCGGAAUUAUUGGGCGUAAAGAGCUUGUAGGCGGUCUGUCGCGUCUGCUGUGAAAACCCGAGGCUCAACCUCGGGCCUGCAGUGGGUACGGGCAGACUAGAGUGCGGUAGGGGAGAACGGAACUCCUGGUGUAGCGGUGGAAUGCGCAGAUAUCAGGAAGAACACCGAUGGCGAAGGCAGUUCUCUGGGCCGUAACUGACGCUGAGAAGCGAAAGCGUGGGGAGCGAACAGGAUUAGAUACCCUGGUAGUCCACGCCGUAAACGUUGGGCGCUAGAUGUGGGGACCAUUCCACGGUUUCCGUGUCGUAGCUAACGCAUUAAGCGCCCCGCCUGGGGAGUACGGCCGCAAGGCUAAAACUCAAAGGAAUUGACGGGGGCCCGCACAAGCGGCGGAGCAUGCGGAUUAAUUCGAUGCAACGCGAAGAACCUUACCAAGGCUUGACAUAUACCGGAAACGGCCAGAGAUGGUCGCCCCCUUGUGGUCGGUAUACAGGUGGUGCAUGGUUGUCGUCAGCUCGUGUCGUGAGAUGUUGGGUUAAGUCCCGCAACGAGCGCAACCCUCGUUCUAUGUUGCCAGCGGUUCGGCCGGGAACUCAUAGGAGACUGCCGGGGUCAACUCGGAGGAAGGUGGGGAUGACGUCAAAUCAUCAUGCCCCUUAUGUCUUGGGCUUCACGCAUGCUACAAUGGCCGGUACAAAGGGCUGCGAUGCCGUAAGGCGGAGCGAAUCCCAAAAAGCCGGUCUCAGUUCGGAUUGAGGUCUGCAACUCGACCUCAUGAAGUCGGAGUCGCUAGUAAUCGCAGAUCAGCAACGCUGCGGUGAAUACGUUCCCGGGCCUUGUACACACCGCCCGUCAAGUCAUGAAAGUCGGUAACAC
rnacentral:rRNA from 1 species